UACGUAGGGACCAAGCGUUGUCCGGAAUUAUUGGGCGUAAAGCGCGUGUAGGCGGUUUGUUAAGUCCGAUGUGAAAUGUCGGGGCUCAACCCCGGAACUGCAUUGGAAACUGGCUGACUUGAGUCCGGAAGAGGAGACUGGAAUUCCUGGUGUAGCGGUGAAAUGCGCAGAUAUCAGGAAGAACACCCGUGGCGAAGGCGGGUCUCUGGGACGGUACUGACGCUCAUGCACGAAAGCGUGGGGAGCAAACAGG
rnacentral:rRNA from 1 species